UACGAAGGUGGCAAGCGUUGUUCGGAUUUACUGGGCGUAAAGCGUGCGCAGGCGGUGAUGUAAGACAGAUGUGAAAUCCCCGGGCUCAACCUGGGAACUGCAUUUGUGACUGCAUCGCUGGAGUACGGCAGAGGGGGAUGGAAUUCCGCGUGUAGCAGUGAAAUGCGUAGAUAUGCGGAGGAACACCGAUGCGAAGGCAAUCCCCUGGGCCUGUACUGACGCUCAUGCACGAAAGCGUGGG
rnacentral:rRNA from 1 species